GGUAGUCCACGCCGUAAACGAUGUCGACUUGGAGGUUGUUCCCUUGAGGAGUGGCUUCCGGAGCUAACGCGUUAAGUCGACCGCCUGGGGAGUACGGCCGCAAGGUUAAAACUCAAAUGAAUUGACGGGGGCCCGCACAAGCGGUGUUACUUUGUGGUUUAAUUCGAUGCAACGCGAAGAACCUUACCUACUCUUGACAUCCAGAGAACUUAGCAGAGAUGCUUUGGUGCCUUCGGGAACUCUGAGACAGGUGCUGCAUGGCUGUCGUCAGCUCGUGUUGUGAAAUGUUGGGUUAAGUCCCGCAACGAGCGCAACCCUUAUCCUUUGUUGCCAGCGAUUCGGUCGGGAACUCAAAGGAGACUGCCGGUGAUAAACCGGAGGAAGGUGGGGAUGACGUCAAGUCAUUAUGGCCCUUACGAGUAGGGCUACACACGUGCUACAAUGGCGCAUACAAAGAGAAGCGACCUCGCGAGAGCAAGCGGACCUCACAAAGUGCGUCGUAGUCCGGAUCGGAGUCUGCAACUCGACUCCGUGAAGUCGGAAUCGCUAGUAAUCGUGGAUCAGAAUGCCACGGUGAAUACGUUCCCGGGCCUUGUACACACCGCCCGUCACACCAUGGGAGUGGGUUGCAAAAGAAGUAGGUAGCUUAACCUUCGGGAGGGCGCUUACCACUUUGUGAUUCAUGACUGGGGUGAAGUCGUAACAAGGUAACC
rnacentral:rRNA from 1 species